rnacentral:lncRNA from 1 species
AAUAAAUAAGGACCGCCUAAUAGCGCAUAGGGUAUAGGGUUUAGAGUUUAGGCGGGUCCUUUUUUAUUUAGAUUUUUUUUAAAGAGUAGAGCUGCAAAAAAAAUAAUAAAUAAAUAAAUUAUGCAGUAAGAACUAAGAGCAUGAAAAGCACCAUUGCUCAACCUGAUCUGCCCUUAUCAGUUAACACUGGAUGUGGGAGUUUUAGGACUCAUACACAGGGUAUCUUUACUCAAAAUUGAUAUGAUUUUGAAAAAUCAUUAGACUGAUAAAUCUUAACUUUG